ACCAUGAUUCUUCGAUCCGACAUGACAACAUGAAUCUUCUGUAAGAGUGCAUCCGUUCUGCUUCUCAGGUCUCUGGAACAGAGUUCUGGGCACCGGAGUGGGAAUUGCAGCAUCAUGAAUAUGGGACAGCAGGACCUGAGCCCUGCACCUCUCCAGCCUGGGGAGUGACAUCCCCACGGGGCUAGUCACUGACUGAGCUCAUUCUGCACCAGUUCCUCAUGGAAAAAUUGGGAUUUCUUGAGCCUGAAUCAGCUUGAGCAUCUUAAAGUUUUGUGGGAGAGAUGAAACCCUUCUCAUGCAGCUCUGUGGGUCUGGCUGAAAUAAAACACAGCUUUACAGCUUGCCCUGCUUCAGCCUCCCCUAGCCACCUCCUAGAAGAGGUCUUAAAGACUGUUGCACUGCUGAAAUUUCAGGCUCUGCGUGCCACGCUCAGCGAGCACAGCCCAUAUUUCCGACAGCGCGUUUCCUGAGCGUGAUGCCUGCGGGUACCUAAUCUCGUCCGUACAAUCAGCUUUUGCAGGUUGCGCCUCCCCCUGCUAUUUUCGUGGGACCUCAGAAGCCUUUCCAGGAAGGCGGCGCGGUGGCUGUGAGGUUUGCAUGUGGGGUGGGCUGGGGGGGGGAAACUGCAAAGCUGUGUCUGUAUCGGGGCCGGAGCAGCGGAGAGGGCUGGUUGAAGGUGAGAGGUUAUUUAUGGGAAGCUGCGGUUCUCGUACAGCUUUUUGCCUCCCACUUGCCGCGAGGGGUUUAGAAGACAUCAUUUUGCUUAAGAAUUGCAUGCUUUUAGAGCCACACUGGUUUACCUGGGGUGUAUUCAUCAGUGUGCAGAUCCCUCUCCUUUGUGAGUUAUUCCCGGAGCAGAGGUCCCCCAAAUCCCACUAGACCUGGGGAACGACCCGCAGCAACCUUUGCAUUUUGCUGUGUUUCCCUCUGGAUCAGGUCGGUGCCAUUCCCAAUCCCCAGAGUGCUGGGGAAGAUGAGUCUAACUGAACCCACAAUGAUACCCUCUCCAAAAGCCCCAGAAAGCUAAAAUGUCUUUCUUUCUGCCUGGACCACCUUUCCUUGUUCUACCACUAGAUGGGAGAGUGAGACUGGGCUAACUCAGCUGCUCCCGUCCUUAUCCCGGUAGGAAUUCCGAGAGGUGUUGAGAACUGAGAAAUGCCCGCAGGUCAUCCUGCAAAUCCUCCCACCUCGGGGAGGCAGUGGGUAACCCCCCAAAUGCCUAGUUAUUGCCUAACCCCCAAACUGCCUGGUUUGGGGAGACUGAUGCUUGCCUGGUGCUUUCCCUCAAUACCAGUAUCCUGGCGGUGGCCACUCUGCCCUCAGGCAAGGGGGAUUCACUUACACAAAGGCUAGAUGUAUUCUUGGGGUGAUAUACUUCAUUUUUCUUCCUAUCCACCUGUCCUAGAGCAGAGGGAGGUGGGGAAAGCACUUGCAAUUCCCUUCUCAUCCAUGCCCCAAAUCCUGCUUCCCAGGAAGCCGGUUGACCCCAAUAAUUGCUUUGGCAGGUAACGAAUAAAGCAGUAUUUUCUCCUCCUUUCCUUCCACACCUUUCUCCUAUAGGAUUCUUAUGUAAUGAUACUCCCAGCGAUACCAUUUUCCUGCAAAGAUUAAAAACGGGCUGGUGCAAUGACUGCACAUGCAGGAGGAGAAUUUGUGCCCUGGUCUGAUGCCACUUGCUUCGGGACCUGCCGUGGGUGAGGGAGGGGAGGGUGCCCGGUUCAUUAAUGUCUUAUUAAAUUUACUUUCACUGCAGCACUUUCCAUUUCCCGAGAUGCUUCCCAAGGUCUUUCUGGGACUGGGUGUGUUUGGGAAUUAUACAGUUGCAGAAGCACUUUCUCAACCAAAUCACAUUGCCCAGUUUGACUAUUUUUAUUAUUGUAAGGUUUGGGGCUUUUAAAAAUAAACAACUCUUCUUCCUUCCUGAGAUUUCACAAGUUCUGGAAGAAAUCCCAUAGUAGCCAAAUUCUCUGACUGCCUGUGUGACUAUGGCAGAAUAUGUAAUCCCUGUAACUUGGAAAUCAUCUUUCUGGGGGAUUUUGCUGUCUGCCCCACCUUCCUAAUUUGCAAGCUUUUUAGAGAAGUGACUCAACUGAUUUGUUUAAUGCCAGGCACAGUUGGGCAAUGAGAUGAAAUAAUUCUAAUAACCACCCUAACUGCAGUGCCCUUAUUGCCUCUGCUGCAGUCUCCUGGCUUUGCCUCCACAGAAAAUAUCUGUCAUUAUCCUGUUAGAGAGAAAUAACAGCUUCUUUGGAGAGGAAGUUUAUGUUUUUUACUGGACAUAACUACUCCUAUUUUCCGUAAGCAACAGCCACCCCGUCCUGUGUGUGCAACGAGGCCACUGAGUCACCAGCGCGAAGCACUAACCGGCUCGUGCACCUUGCUGGGGAAGACCCAAAAUCCCCUUCAAAGAAGAGAAGAGACAUCUUUCUUCAGUGGAUAAUUACAGAUGAAAAAAUGUUGCCUGGAAGCAAUAAAAAAAAAAAAAAAAUAGACAUUCCAGACCUAGCAGGUCCAGGGCACGUUUGCUUGUGCGAAUGGAGCUUCUAGCUGCUGGGGACAGCCCGGGGUGACAGCAGCAAACAGGGCAGCCGGGGCGGGAGCAUCUCCUGCCGCAGCGGGGGCCAGGGCUGGGGUUUCACCUCGCUCUGUCCAUGCACGGAUCUGGGACGCGUGGGGAUGAAGGUCAGAGCAGCCAUAGGGCAUCUCUAAUAGAUGGUUAAUCGUAUAUCUGCUUCUGGCCUUGGACAUCCGUGGGAGAAGUUACUGCCCCCGGCCAACUGCCUGCUGCUCCCUGUCCUCCUCGGAUGUCAAACACUGGUCCCGGAAGAGAAUUAAAAACCAGAAAAAGCACUAACUGGCGAGAGGAGCUACAAAGUGACCGGCGGGACGGUGCAGCCUUGCGAUGACACAGGACCGGAGGGACAAGGACACCAGAGACCGACUUCUGGCCUCUGCUGACUGCAGGAGCUGCUGCGGCUUGUCGCCGUCUAAUGGCUUUCAGCACGCCAAACGCAAAGUCAGGCCCACUUCAGCAAGGAGAAGUCGAGCUGAUUAAGUUUCUCUUUAAUUAUAACAAGGAAACGGCACGUGCAAGUGUCGCUUCAGAUGAGAAACACGUGGCAGUCACCAAGUUAAAGCUGUAUCCUGUAAAACUUUCCAGCGUGUGAGGCUGAGCCUUGAAUUCCUGCUGCUGCAGGACCAGGGGGAGGAAAGGAAAAAGGAUUUGAGCAUGGUCCAAGCUGUGGUCCACAGGACUUGUUUCAGGAGAGCUCAGCUAGCCGUGAAACAUCAGCCCUGACGAAUGGUUGGGGCAGAGUCCGGCGCAACACGUGUGCGUGCACGGCAUUUACUGCACUAGUAGGCAGCUCCAGCAGCAAUAUAAAGAGCGUAAAGCUCAAACUUAUAAAGCAUAGAUGCAGAGACCCGAAUGGAGCAGUGGACUAGCAAAAGGCAGCCUUGCCGGGAAAUGUUGCGUCGCUGCGGGUUGCAGCCAGAGCCCUUCGGUAGCUAGCUCCCGGCAUCGCGGCAGCCGUGCGGACCCUCAUGACGGUGAUUAAAAGCAGCUCCAUGAAUUUGGAAAGCGGGCAGAGGAGUCUACCUCCUCCUCAGGGGCAUUUUGAGCCCGCAGCUGAACACGGAGGGCUGCAUGUGCUGGCGAAGUACGUGGGAUGCGCUCCAUGGGGCUGUGACCUCUUCAGGGGGGGCAAGAGGCAGUCGCGCGAUGGUAAGCACAGAGCACAGAUUAAGCAAAAACUAUUACGAGGGUGAACGUCAGCCCCAGGACACUGGGGCAUCCCCGGACGGAGGGCUCUGCACCAUGGGGGAUGGCUGAUGCUUCCCCUGAUCCUGACCCGCACGGGCAGCUCCCGGCCGGGAUGCAAUCCGGCCUCGCAGAUGCAGGGUCCGAUCUCUCUUGUAGACCUUGAAUCCUGCAAGAGGAACUAUAGGGAUGGAUUUUCAAAAUCAGUCAGAACUAGUGGGAUCCAGGCCUUACCUGAGAUAGCAACAGAAUUAGCCACGUGAUUUCUCCUCUGGAUUUACAGGGGCAAUAUUUUUCCAAAGUUCAAAGUCUGUAUCUGCAGGAAGCAUGUGACAUGCUUUGCAGUCACGCCAUAGUUUUGGUGCUAUGAACAAUUAAAAAAAUCAAUUUCUGGAGCAAUAUUUUCUAUGUUUGUAAUCUCUGAACUAAUUACAGGACUGGAAAAUCAAUAGCUAUCUGGAAAUCUUUCCAAUGCGGCUAACUAAGCAUGCUACAUAUCAUGCUGGAAUAUAUUCUUCACAAACACAUGAUGCUUGUGACCAUCUCCCAGAUCAUAUGGGCAGAUGAUAUCACUGUCAAUAAGCAUCUGUACUUCAUUACACUGCAAUGGCAACAUUUACCAAAAUCUGCAGGGGGGGACUGGGCACAGCAAAUAGCACAGUACAUGAGAUCUGGAGCAACAUUUGUGCCAGCAUUUUAAGCCAACAACAAAAAGUGUUGAAAGACUCGGUUAGUUCAACAGGAAUCUUCAAAAAGAUUACGAAAUAAAGUCAUUAAAAGUUCACGCCUCAGCUAUAACGUUGUUUUUUUCAUCAGGAUUUAUUAAAAAAAAAAAAAGUAAAACCUUUGGUGACUGAAAAUAACCUCUUUCUCUAGUAUCCUAGCAAGAGAGCGGUGUUAAAUGGGUAGUUCAAUGGCGACUACACGUCAAAAAACACAUGUAAAAAGGAAGGGUGUUCCUCUGAUGAAUAUGAUCUCCUCUUGCUGUACAAACAUGCAGUGUUGACCAUGGCAACUCGGUUGGAGCCAAAGCCCAAACCCUUGUGCUGAUGCUCUGCACCGCUUCCCGCACACCGCAGGCGUUGCUGGGAUCUUAUUUGAGAUGCUGCCGCCUCACUCGUGCCCUGCGAGAGCUCAGCCUGCUCUUCCUUGGUACGGUGGAGUUUGUGCUGCUGCUAAGUGAAGAGUAAAUAUUCCCAUCAGACGCAGUGCCAAAAGCACAGCAAGUGGAUAAGGAGCAAAGACCACAGUACAGGUGAUUUUCCCAACGCUCCUGUUUGCACCGCUGCUUGGUACAAUGGAGCGAUGAAUUCUGAGCUGUCACGACACCACAAAUAUUUGCUUUCAUUUUAUAUGUUUUUCUCUGAUGAUUCUUCACAGCUUUCCCCCCCCCCAGUGAAUCGAGCAGAGGAAAAGUGGGAUUGGGGUACAUCUGUGCCCUUGCUCCCUCCGCAAGCCGGGGGAUUCCCGCACCUGCAGCUCUCCGAGGUGGGGAUCCUCGUCCCAGCGCGGAGCUUCAGGUCCUGCAACCCAGGAAGGUAGGGUGCAGAGUGUGCUUUGUUCCAGCUCUCAUCUCAGGAAAGAGGCCACGAUUUAUAGUCCCUCCUAAAUAAGAACUUAGCAGGACUCCCACAUCCAGCUCAGGAGCUCCUGUGCACGGUGCAGCACAUGGGCAGGGAGAAAGGAACCCCUCCAGCUCCUGAGAGCUUGCCCGGAGAAGCAGAGCUGGACCGGAGCGUGGCCACGGGUGAUUAUGGUAACAGCACUGCCUCACCCGCACCCAGAACAUACACUCCCAUGGGGUGGCUUUGCUAAUCUGGGCUGCUUUCUGCCAAAAAGCAACAGUUACAAAAACAUUGUGCUUGCCAUAAUCGCAGUCACAAUUUCCCUUUUAACUCCUAAGGUUGGAAUGACCUUGAUGCUAACUCAGAGCUGCCGGGCACCACGUACUGUUCAGACUCUGGGAACAUAUCCACGGCUGCUGCGCUCUGCUUCAACGUGUCUUCUCCUCAGAUGGUGCCGUCUAUGGACUUUUCCAUGAUUCUUGCCAGUGUAAUGUCAUAUUUCAUUCAAAUAAAACUUGACUGGAGUGCAAGAAAUCACUUCUAUUUCUAUCUUAGGAAAGAAAGGCUGCAGGGUCUGCGCAUCACCUAAUGGAAAAGACCUGAGAAAAAAGAGCUCAGACCCUUCAGAAAUCUUUCAAAGAGAAGCUACAGCUCUCCCUUACCUCUUUUAAAAUUAAUACAUCACACUUUUUACCUGCUGAGCAGCAAAGUUCCUAACACCGUUUCCAAAUAACCCAGAGGUACGGUAUUGCAGUGCUGUCGCCGGCUGGUUUAUAAAGAGGGCGAGAGCAGGACACACGGCGAGGGAUCGCUGCCUCUCGCGACGUUCCCCUGGCCACCGGCCAUCAGCACCUCAGGGACAUCCCGAACUAGAGGUUUGCGCAGAGAUUAUUGGGUUUAACAGCCGCCAGAGCGUGUGUCACCCAUGAAUUUGUCUAAUCCUUCCUCGAACACAGUUACACUUUCAGCUCUGCAAUGCCCUCCGGCAACGGUUGCCAUUGUUUAAUCAGGAGCUGUGCAAGAGUUUGCUUUAAACCUCCUACCUCAUCCUUUCAUUUACAGGAUCCUUUGCUCUUGUAAUAAUAAAUGCAGCUCGCAGUGCUGAGCAGGAUGGAUUCUGAUGCUCCAGUUUGCAAAACCAACAGGGUCUUGCAGAGGUAGGAUAACACAAAGUCUGGUAAAAAUCCCAGGGGGGAUUUUCAGGAGUGCAUUUCCCACUGCAAGCCAGCACUAGCCACCGCUCUUGAAAAAUCCCACCUUUAUUCGUUAUUUAUUAUAUGUUUCCUGUGAAUGAAUUUCUGGCUCAAAUUAGAGUUAUAAUAAAAGUCUAAAAAAAAAAAAUCUUCUCUUAGGAAAAAAUCCAGUUCUGUACUUCCUUCCCCAAGAUUUGUUGCUUGUUCUGCAACAGGAGAUGUGAAUCAUGGCAGUAUUUAUAACAGCGAUAUUAGGAAAUGAUCAUUCAGGCACCAGAAAUCUGUAUUAGACAUUAUGUCUUUAAAUAAAUUGUUUAUUACUAUGUUAACCUACUCUUGUAAAUACAUGUACACUUAACUAUAUUAAAAAUGUAAACGUUCCCAGAA